rnacentral:rRNA from 1 species
AUUGAACGCUGGCGGCAUGCCUUACACAUGCAAGUCGAACGGUAACAGGUCUUCGGAUGCUGACGAGUGGCGAACGGGUGAGUAAUACAUCGGAACGUGCCCAGACGUGGGGGAUAACGAGGCGAAAGCUUUGCUAAUACCGCAUACGAUCUAAGGAUGAAAGCAGGGGACCGCAAGGCCUUGUGCGUUUGGAGCGGCCGAUGGCAGAUUAGGUAGUUGGUGGGAUAAAAGCUUACCAAGCCGACGAUCUGUAGCUGGUCUGAGAGGACGACCAGCCACACUGGGACUGAGACACGGCCCAGACUCCUACGGGAGGCAGCAGUGGGGAAUUUUGGACAAUGGGCGAAAGCCUGAUCCAGCAAUGCCGCGUGCAGGAUGAAGGCCUUCGGGUUGUAAACUGCUUUUGCACGGAACGAAAAGGCUCUGGCUAAUACCUGGGGCACAUGACGGUACCGUAAGAAUAAGCACCGGCUAACUACGUG